UACGUAGGGCGCAAGCGUUAUCCGGAAUUAUUGGGCGUAAAGCGCUCGUAGGCGGUUUGUCGCGUCUGCCGUGAAAGUCCGGGGCUCAACUCCGGAUCUGCGGUGGGUACGGGCAGACUAGAGUGAUGUAGGGGAGACUGGAAUUCCUGGUGUAGCGGUGAAAUGCGCAGAUAUCAGGAGGAACACCGAUGGCGAAGGCAGGUCUCUGGCGCGACCCUGACGCUGAGGCGCGAAAGCGUGGGGAGCGAACGGG
rnacentral:rRNA from 1 species